ACAGGACAAGUGUCAGCACAAGGCAUCUCUACUACUCUAUGGUAAUAAGAAUGUUAGCAAGACUGAUGUGAGGGUUUCUUGGAUUCAGCAUCCAAAGCGAGCACCACCAAAGAAGACAACUACUAUGGAGGAGCUAUUUCCACCACCACCACAUUUAGCGAAGUACAGGUAUUCUUCAAAUUAUGUAUAAAAAAGAA